UACGUAGGGUGCGAGCGUUGCCCGGAUUCAUUGGGCGUAAAGGGCGCGUAGGCGGCGACCGCGCGUCGCGCGUGAAAUCCCCCGGCUCACCCGGGGGGGGCCGCGCGAUACGGCGGCGCUGGGGCGCGGGAGAGGGAAGCGGAAUUCCCGGUGUAGUGGUGGAAUGCGUAGAGAUCGGGAGGAACACCAGUGGCGAAGGCGGCUUCCUGGACCGUGGCUGACGCUGAGGCGCGAAAGCGUGGGGAGCGAUCCGG
rnacentral:rRNA from 1 species